rnacentral:rRNA from 1 species
CCUACGGGAGGCAGCAGUGAGGAAUAUUGGUCAAUGGGCGCGAGUCUGAACCAGCCAAGUAGCGUGAAGGAUGACUGCCCUAUGGGUUGUAAACUUCUUUUAUAAAGGAAUAAAGUGAGGCACGUGUGCCUUUUUGCAUGUACUUUAUGAAUAAGGAUCGGCUAACUCCGUGCCAGCAGCCGCGGUAAUACGGAGGAUCCGAGCGUUAUCCGGAUUUAUUGGGUUUAAAGGGAGCGUAGAUGGGUUGUUAAGUCAGUUGUGAAAGUUUGCGGCUCAACCGUAAAAUUGCAAUUGAUACUGGCAGCCUUGAGUACAGUUGAGGUAGGCGGAAUUCGUGGUGUAGCGGUGAAAUGCUUAGAUAUCACGAAGAACCCCGAUUGCGAAGGCAGCUUACUAAACUGUGACUGACAUUGAUGCUCGAAAGUGUGGGUAUCAAACAGGAUUAGAUACCCGGGUAGUC